AUGGCCAGGGGCCUGGCCAUGGGGAUUGCAGGGGAUCUGGUGGGAAUGGGGGGUAUCCAAAUGGAGAAGGAGACCAUACUAGAACUGAAUCACCACCUGGACUCCUACCUGGACAGAGUGAGGAACCUGGAGACUGAUAAUUGAAGGCUGGAGAGCAAAAUCUGGGGACACCUGCAGAAGAAAGGGCCCCAGGUCAGAGAUUGGGCACACUGUUUCAAGACUAUGGAGGACCUGAGCACCCAGAUCUUUGCAAGUUCUCUGGGCAAUGCCUGCAGCAUUCUGCAGAUUGACAAUACCUGUCUUGCUGCUGAUGACUUUAGAGUCAAGUAUGAGUCAGAGCCGGCUGUGAGCCAGUCUGUAGAGAAUGACAUCCAUGGACCCCGCAAGGUCAUUGAUGACACCAAUGUCAGUCAGCUGCAGUUGGAGACAGAUAGAGGCUCUCAAAGUAGAACUGCUUUUCAGGAAGAACCACCAGGAGAAAAUAAAAACACUACAAGCCUGGAUUGCCAGCUAUGAGUGGACCGUGAAGGUAGAUGCUCCCAGAUCCCGGAACUUAGCAAGAUUAUGGCAGACAUGUGGGCCCAGUAUGAAGAGCUGGCUCAGAAGAAUUGAAAACUGGACAAGUACUGGUACCAACAAAUUGAGGAGAUCACCACAGUGGUCACCUCACAGUCUGCGGAGGUUGAAGCUGCUGAGAUGAUGCUCACAGAGCUGAAACAGACCGUGGUGAUUGACCUGGACUCCAUGAGAAAUCUGAAGUCCAGCUUGGAGAACAGCCUGAGGGUGGUGGAGGCCUGCUAUGCCAUGAAUAUGGAGCCUCUUCAUGGAAUCCUGCUGCAUUGGAGUCAGAGCUAGCGAGGGUCAGAGCCAGGCCCAGGAGUACCAGGCUCUGCAGAACAUCAAGAUCAAGCUAGAGGCUGAGAUCACCAUCUACUGCUGGAAGACACGGAGGACUUCAACCUUGGUGCUGCCCUGGACAUGAACAACUCCAUGCAAACCAUCCAAAAGAACCCCUACCCACAGGAUAGUGGAUGGCAAAAUGGUUUCUGAAACCAAUGAUACCAAAGUUCUGAGUCAUUGA